GUGGGGAAUAUUGGACAAUGGGCGAAAGCCUGAUCCAGCCAUGCCGCGUGUGUGAAGAAGGUCUUCGGAUUGUAAAGCACUUUAAGUUGGGAGGAAGGGCAGUAAGUUAAUACCUUGCUGUUUUGACGUUACCGCCAGAAUAAGCACCGGCUAACUUCGUGCCAGCAGCCGCGGUAAUACGAAGGGUGCAAGCGUUAAUCGGAAUUACUGGGCGUAAAGCGCGCGUAGGUGGUUUUGUAAGUUGGAGGUGAAAUCCCCGGGCUCAACCUGGGAACUGCCUCCAAAACUGCAUGACUAGAGUACGGUAGAGGGUAGUGGAAUUUCCUGUGUAGCGGUGAAAUGCGUAGAUAUAGGAAGGAACACCAGUGGCGAAGGCGACUACAUGGACUGAUACUGACACUGAGGUGCGAAAGCGUGGGGAGCAAACAGGAUUAGAAACCCCUGUAGUCC
rnacentral:rRNA from 1 species